rnacentral:lncRNA from 1 species
GCCAACAGUGGAGAGCAGGUGAGGAGACGUGGACCUGAGGAAGGCGACAAAGGGGGCCUCAAGGUCUUCUUCAAGAUGGCUCUUGAAGCCGGGGUGAAGAGAGAAGAAGGGAGGACCGAAGCUUUCAAGUGCCCGUCCUUGGUGGGACCUUUGCCGCGGUGCCAGAGACUGGGAAAGUAGCGCGGCGGCGGCAGAAGGACGGCCUCCGCGGGAAGCUCCUCUCUUUCCUUCUAUGCAAAUUCACGGGAGAAGACGGCGAGGCAGCUCGCAGGCUGUUGGAAGGAAGUUGUGGAGGAGGAAAGCCGAACUCUGUUCCCGUCUCCGUCGCCCGAAGUCGGCAUGUGCGUGAGCGAGCCCCCGUGGUUACGUAACUACAACCUCAUUACGUGUUUAGGUGCUCAGGUUGUUUCAGGAGACACAUGUCCUCGUUUAGGCAAGCCUCAAGUCGUAUUGUUUCAUCCAGGGUUUCCACCAGCUGGUGGUCUUUGUCUCAUCAGAGAGAGCGACGGAGAAGAUCCUGAUCCUGUGAGGUGAUACUUCUGGUGAAGCGGUCCUUUUUGAACAAUCACUGUGGACACAAAAACCUGAGAACGGCAACAAACGGGAUUUCCAAGAUCAACUUUUCUCAUGUAAGCAUGUAACAGAACCCAGAACCUUCCUUCGGUUCAAGCUGGGGCCUUGAGAAGAUGGAUCUGGAGCGGUCGUCUGAUGGAGUUUCUGAUACUUCACGGUGGAAUCUAAGACAAUAAUGGCUGUUUUUCCUGCUGGGAACAUUUUCCAGAGUCACUCCACUCUUCCUCGAAUUUCAGAAGGAUUUCUGAAGGCCUUGCGGGGAAACUUGGACCCCAUGUUGGGAAUCACUCGCAGCCUCUUUGAGGCGAUGCCUCUGGUGGUUCUCGGUAAAGUGGCAUGUCGUCGGCUCUGCAGGCGUGUCAGGACCACGACGCGGUGGCGUGACAUCACAGACUGA